rnacentral:rRNA from 2 species
CGACCUCAGAUCGGGCGAGACUACCCGCUGAAUUUAAGCAUAUCAAUAAGCGGAGGAAAAGAAACUAACAAGGAUUCCC